CAUGAGCGCCAGCUUGUGUGGAGGCGACGUUGGGAUACCACCCUGAUCGUAUCGGAGUUCUAACCUACUACCGUGAAACCGGUAGAGGGACCGUGUCAGGCGGGCAGUUUGACUGGGGCGRUCGCCUCCUAAAAUGUAACGGAGGCGCCCAAAGGUUCCCUCAGAAUGGUUGGAAAUCAUUCGAAGAGUGCAAAGGCAUAAGGGAGCUUGACUGCGAGACCUACAAGUCGAGCAGGGACGAAAGUCGGGCUUAGUGAUCCGGUGGUACCGAAUGGAAGGGCCAUCGCUCAACGGAUAAAAGCUACCCUGGGGAUAACAGGCUUAUCUCCCCCAAGAGUCCACAUCGACGGGGAGGUUUGGCACCUCGAUGUCGGCUCAUCGCAUCCUGGGGCUGAAGUAGGUCCCAAGGGUUGGGCUGUUCGCCCAUUAAAGCGGUACGCGAGCUGGGUUCAGAACGUCGUGAGACAGUUCGGUCCCUAUCUGUCGCGGGCGUAGGAAAUUUGAGAGGAGCUGUCCUUAGUACGAGAGGACCGGGAUGGACGUACCGCUGGUGUACCAGUUGUUCCGCCAGGAGCACCGCUGGGUAGCCAAGUACGGACGGGAUAAGCGCUGAAAGCAUCUAAGCGUGAAGCCCCCCUCAAGAUGAGAUUUCCCAGUAUGUAAGACCCCUUGAAGACGACGAGGUUGAUAGGUUCGGGGUGGAAGUGCAGUAAUGUACGGAGCUGACGAAUACUAAUCGGUCGAGGGCUUAUCCUA
rnacentral:rRNA from 1 species